AUUGAACGCUGGCGGCAGGCUUAACACAUGCAAGUCGAGCGAGAGGCGGACGGGUGAGUAAUGUCUGGGAAACUGCCUGAUGGAGGGGGAUAAAUCCUGGAAACGGUAGCUACUACCGCAUACCAUCAGAUGUGCCCAGAUGGGAUUAGGUAGUAGGUGGGGUAAUGGCUCACUUAGGCGCAGAUCCCUAGCUGGUCUGAGAGGAUGACCAGCCACAUUGGAACUGAGACACGGUCCAGACGCCUACGUGAGGCAGCAGUGGGGAAGAUUGCACAAUGGGCGAAAGCCUGAUGCAGCCAUGCCGCGUGGUUGAAGAAGGCCUUCGGGUUGUAAAGAACGUUCAGCGAGGAGGCGUUACUCGCAGAAGAAGCACCGGCUAACUCCGUGCCAGCAGCCGCGGUAAUUC
rnacentral:rRNA from 1 species